CACGUACUGUGCGAACGUUAUUCGGAAUCACUGGGCUUAAAGGGUGCGUAGGCGGUUUAAUAAGUAGGGUGUGAAAUGCCAGGGCUCAACCUUGGCACGGCGCUCUAAACUGUUAAACUUGAGUGAGAUAGGGGUGUACGGAACUUCCGGUGGAGCGGUGAAAUGCGUUGAUAUCGGAAGGAACACCGGUGGCGAAAGCGGUACACUGGGUCUUAACUGACGCUGAGGCACGAAAGCUAGGGUAGCGAACGGG
rnacentral:rRNA from 1 species